rnacentral:rRNA from 1 species
GAUGAACGCUGGCGGCGUGCCUAAUACAUGCAAGUCGAGCGAACAGACGAGGAGCUUGCUCCUCUGACGUUAGCGGCGGACGGGUGAGUAACACGUGGAUAACCUACCUAUAAGACUGGGAUAACUUCGGGAAACCGGAGCUAAUACCGGAUAAUAUAUUGAACCGCAUGGUUCAAUAGUGAAAGACGGUUUUGCAGUCACUUAUAGAUGGAUCCGCGCCGCAUUAGCUAGUUGGUAAGGUAACGGCUUACCAAGGCAACGAUGCGUAGCCGAGCUGAGAGGGUGAUCGGCCACAAUGGAACUGAGACACGGUCCAGACUCCUACGGGAGGCAGCAGUAGGGAAUCUUCCGCAAUGGGCGAAAGCCUUACGGAGCAACGCCGCGUGAGUGAUGAAGGUCUUCGGAUCGUAAAACUCUGUUAUUAGGGAAGAACAAAUGUGUAAGUAACUAUGCACGUCUUGACGGUACCUAAUCAGAAAGCCACGGCUAACUACGUGCCAGCCGCCGCCGUAA